GGUUGAAUAUUUGAAAAAGAAAACAACAGAGUGUUUGGGUACCGCAGCUGUCGUCCUUUAUACAGACUCCAACACUGAAUCUGUGCUAAAAAAAAAAUUGUAAAAAAAAAUUAAAAUGAUCGGCGGGUCAAACUGAGAAACUAUAACUGCAGUGACUGAGGACUGUUGCAACACCAGAGCUUCCUGCUGAACAAAGAAGGGAAGGAGAACAGGAACAACAGCAGAAAAUAGUCAUGUUAAAAACCAUCAGCCGUCUGCUUUUUGGGGGAGAGGAGGAGGAGACCCCUGAACACGUCAAGUCUGGAGAGGCGGUGGAGGAAGGAUGGACCGUUGUCACUCAUCAAGAGGCAGAUUCGGCAGAAAACCAGGACACGCUGCAGAGUGAAACACAACCAUCCAACUUUGCCCUUCAUGGAAACACAUCUGCAAACAUGGAAACUGAUUGUGUGCCGGAUGCAGAGCCCUCAGUUCAAAGCAGCACCACCACCAGUCAAGCCAUGUCUGCUACUUUUUUCCAGCCUAAAGCUCUGCCAGCUAUAACACAGUUAGCCUGCAUCCAGAAGGCUAAGUCCUGGGCCGACCGACACUGCG